CAGCCGCCGCGGUAAUACGGGGGGGGCAAGCGUUGUUCGGAAUUACUGGGCGUAAAGGGCGCGUAGGCGGUUCGCUAAGUCGGAUGUGAAAACUCUGGGCUCAACCCAGAGCCUGCAUCCGAAACUGGCGGGCUAGAGUUCUGGAGGGGGUAGCGGAAUUCCUGGUGUAGCGGUGAAAUGCGUAGAUAUCAGGAGGAACACCGGUGGCGAAGGCGGCUACCUGGACAGAAACUGACGCUGAGGCGCGAAAGCUAGGGGAGCAAACAGGAUUAGAUACCCUGGUAGUCCUAGCCCUAAACGAUGGAUACUUGGUGUGACGGGGAUUGAAUCCCGUCGUGCCGAAGCUAACGCAUUAAGUAUCCCGCCUGGGGAGUACGGUCGCAAGGCUGAAACUCAAAUGAAUUGACGG
rnacentral:rRNA from 1 species